AUGGCUUAUGGUCAAAACAGUUUACUGCCAUGGGAUGGGACUGCGGCCUAUCAGCUUGUUGGUGAGGUAAUGGCCCACCAAGGCGAUUACAGGUACGGGCUCUGAGAGGAGAAGCCCGGAGAUGGGUACUGAGACACGGACCCAGGCCCUAUGGGGCGCAGCAGGCGAGGAACCUUAGCAAUGUGCGAAAGCACGACUGGGUCAGUCCGAGUGAUUCCUGAUAAAGGAGUCUUUUGCUUGUCCUAAAAGCACAGGUGAAUAAGGGGUGGGCAAGUCUGGUGUCAGCCGCCGCGGUAAUACCAGCACCUCGAGUGGUCAGGACGUUUAUUGGGCCUAAAGCAUCCGUAGCCGGCUUUGCAAGUCUUCGGUUAAAUCCACCUGCUCAACAGAUGGGCCGCUGGAGAUACUACAGAGCUAGGGAGUGGGAGAGGCAGACGGUAUUCAGUGGGUAGGGGUAAAAUCCUCUGAUCCAUUGAGGACCACCAGUGGCGAAGGCGGUCUGCCAGAACACGUUCGACGGUGAGGGAUGAAAGCUGGGGGAGCAAACCGGAUUAGACACCCGGGUAGUCCCAGCUGUAAACGAUGCAAACUCGGUGAUGCAUUGGCUUAUGGCCAAUGCAGUGCCGCAGGGAAGCCGUUA
rnacentral:rRNA from 1 species